rnacentral:rRNA from 1 species
CCUACGGGUGGCAGCAGUGAGGAAUAUUGGUCAAUGGCCGUAAGGCUGAACCAGCCAAGUAGCGUGAGGGAAGACUGCCCUAUGGGUUUUAAACCUCUUUUAUGCGGGGAUAAAGGUGUCCACGUGUGGAUGUUUGCAGGUACCGCAUGAAUAAGGACCGGCUAAUUCCGUGCCAGCAGCCGCGGUAAUACGGAAUGUCCGGGCGUUAUCCGGAUUUGUUGGGUUUAAGGGGAGCGUAGGCGGACGGUUAAGUCAUCGGGAAAAGCCCGGGGCUCAACCCCGUCGAGCCGUUGAAACUGGCUGUCUUGAGAUGACGAGAGGUAUGCGGAAUGCGCAGUGUAGCGGUGAAAUGCUUAGAUAUUGCGCAGAACUCCGAUUGCGAAGGCAGCAUACCGGCGGCGAUCUGACGCUGAGGCACGAAAGCGUGGGUAUCGAACAGGAUUAGAUACCCGGGUAGUC